CCGCCCUUCAGUGCUGCAGCUAACGCAUUAAGCACUCCGCCUGGGGAGUACGACCGCAAGGUUGAAACUCAAAGGAAUUGACGGGGGCCCGCACAAGCGGUGGAGCAUGUGGUUUAAUUCGAAGCAACGCGAAGAACCUUACCAGGUCUUGACAUCCUUUGACCACUCUAGAGAUAGAGCUUCCCCUUCGGGGGCAAAGUGACAGGUGGUGCAUGGUUGUCGUCAGCUCGUGUCGUGAGAUGUUGGGUUAAGUCCCGCAACGAGCGCAACCCUUAUUGUUAGUUGCCAUCAUUCAGUUGGGCACUCUAGCAAGACUGCCGGUGACAAACCGGAGGAAGGUGGGGAUGACGUCAAAUCAUCAUGCCCCUUAUGACCUGGGCUACACACGUGCUACAAUGGGAAGUACAACGAGUUGCGAAGUCGCGAGGCUAAGCUAAUCUCUUAAAGCUUCUCUCAGUUCGGAUUGCAGGCUGCAACUCGCCUGCAUGAAGCCGGAAUCGCUAGUAAUCGCGGAUCAGCACGCCGCGGUGAAUACGUUCCCGGGCCUUGUACACACCGCCCGUCACACCACGAGAGUUUGUAACACCCGAAGUCGGUGAGGUAACCUUU
rnacentral:rRNA from 1 species